AGGGAAUCUUCCGCAAUGGACGAAAGUCUGACGGAGCAACGCCGCGUGAGUGAAGAAGGCCUUCGGGUCGUAAAACUCUGUUGCCGGGGAAGAACAAGUGCCGUUCGAACAGGGCGGCGCCUUGACGGUACCCGGCCAGAAAGCCACGGCUAACUACGUGCCAGCAGCCGCGGUAAUACGUAGGUGGCAAGCGUUGUCCGGAAUUAUUGGGCGUAAAGCGCGCGCAGGCGGCUUCGUAAGUCGGAUGUGAAAGCUUGCGGCUCAACCGCAAGCGGUCAUUGGAAACUGGGAGGCUUGAGUGCAGAAGAGGAGAGUGGAAUUCCACGUGUAGCGGUGAAAUGCGUAGAGAUGUGGAGGAACACCAGUGGCGAAGGCGACUCUCUGGGCUGUAACUGACGCUGAGGCGCGAAAGCGUGGGGAGCAAAC
rnacentral:rRNA from 1 species